rnacentral:rRNA from 1 species
GAUGAACGCUGGCGGUGUGCCUUAGGCAUGCAAGUCGAACGCUUCCUUCGGGAAGAGUGGCAGACGGGUGAGUAACACGUAGGAAUCUACCCAGUAGUGGGGAAUAGCCUUCCGAAAGGAGGAGUAAUACCGCAUACGCCCGCAAGGGGAAAGCAUUUAUGCGCUAUUGGAGGAGCCUGCGCGCUAUCAGCUAGUUGGUGAGGUAAAAGCUCACCAAGGCGACGACGGCUAGCCGAUGUGAGAGCAUGAUCGGCCACAAGGUCACUGAGACACGGGGCCUACACCUACGGGUGGCAGCAACCGGGAAUUUUGCGCAAUGGACGAAAGUCUGACGCAGCGACACCGCGUGUGGGAUGACACUCUUCGGAGCGUAAACCACUGUGGCAGGGGAGGAAGAUCUGACAGUACCCUGCUAGAAAGCACCUGCUAACCACG